CCCUUCCCGAUUAAGCUGCAGAAAAAAAGAGAAUUAAGUGAAAGAUGAACUGUGUCAUUUGGUACCCACUGGUGCAUUUUGUCUUAUGCCAAGUCACAAGAAUUUCCAUACAUAGAUAAUGAAAUUGAUGUAAAAAUCAGCAAUACCUUGGAUUGGUCAUUCCCUUUGUAGCAAGGAGUCAAAUACAUUGAUAAUAAAUUUCAUUAAGAAUACCAUCCAACAACUAAAAACUAUCCACUAGUAAUAUGAGAUUAAUUAGUUACCAUGGACGGCCUUAAAGAAAAUAGUGCCCAAUAACUUAAGAAACUGUUCCUACAUUUUUGUCCAUUAUUUUGUCUCCAUAGCAUAUGCAGCUACCUUGUCAAGACAAAUUUCAACAUCCAGAGAAUUUAUAACAUAUUUCUGCAACUACCAGAACCCAAUAUUCUCAAACCCAAAGGCAAAAUCCAAAAAAGCACCCAUUCAUACCCAAUGACUAACAAAUUGUGGGCCAUUUUUG
rnacentral:misc_RNA from 1 species